rnacentral:rRNA from 1 species
AGCUUGGAUUUAUUCAAGUGGAAAGUGGCGGACGAGCGAGUAACACAUAAGAACUUGCCCUGUACUCGGGGAUAACCUGGCGAAAGUCGGGCUAAUACCGGAUGGUCUCGUAAGAGUAAAGCUUUUGCGGUACAGGAGAGGCUUGUGGCUUAUCAGCUAGUUGGUGGGGUAAAGGCCCACCAAGGCUAUGACGAGUAACUGGUGUGAGAGCACGACCAGUCGCGAUGGGACUGAGAUACGGCCCAUACUUC